GAUUUGGCUGCUGACACUGACACUGAUUCCUCUCUCUCUCUCUCUCUCUCUCUCUCUCGUCACCGAAAUCUGUUCUCUGUCACGAACCUGAAUCUUUUGUUAUCGUCUUAGAAGCUGGAAGGAUCGGGGGUUGUUUGAGCAGCGAUGCGUUCCUUCUUCUCGUCCAGUCCCAUGUAACAUCUGACACAAACAUGUAAAUGAGGACCUUGAAAGAUGGUCUAGCCUACCAGACGAGAGCAGUUAAGUCCGGCUUCGUCCCCAGCACUUUCCUGUUCAACCAGCUCAUCCGCCUCUACUCCCAGAAUGGCCUCUUGCGAGAAGCCCACAAGCUGUUCGACGAAAUGCCCCACCGGAACGUGUAUACCUCGAACGCCCUGAUUUCGGCUUAUGUAAAAGCUCGGGACUUGACCCGAGCCAGGGCGUUGUUCGACUCCGCCACUGACAGGGACUUGGUAACUUAUAAUUCAAUACUGACCGGUUACGUGACCGUCGAAGGACGUGAAAGCGAUGCGCUCGAAUGGUUUGACAAGAUGCAGUUGAUGCGUGAUCGUCUUAAGUUCGACGAGUUUACUUUGACGGCGAUGCUAAACUUGGUGGCAAAGUUACGUGUGCAGUGUUAUGGGACACAGUUGCAUGCUUAUAUGGUGAGGACGGGGAAUGAUACGGAUAAGUAUGCCAUGAGCUCCUUAAUUGACAUGUACUCUAAAUGUGGGAGUUUCGGAGAAGCAUACAGAGUGUUCUGUGAAUCAAAAGCGGAGGUCGAUUUGGUUUCCAAGAAUACGAUGAUGGCAGCUUGUUGUAGGGAAGGUAAGAUGGAAAUGGCUUUAGAUCUGUUCCAGAGAUUGCCCGAGUUAAAUGAUACAGUGUCUUGGAAUACUUUGAUUUCUGGCUAUGCCCAGAACGGUUUUGAGGAGGAGUCCUUGAAUUUCUUUAUGAAAAUGAGAGACAGUGGAUUUGGGUGGAAUGAGCACACGUUCGCUAGUGUUCUGAAUGCUUGCUCCAGCAUGCGGAAUUCAAAGCUUGGAAAGGAGAUACAUGCUUGGGUUUUGAGAGAAGGAGUGAUAUCAAAUCUCUUUGUUAAGAGUGCCUUGGUGGAUGUUUACUCCAAGUGUGGAAAUAUGAAAUAUGCGGACUUAGUUUAUGCGACGAUUGAGUGGGAGAACUCCUUUUCGACAACUUCUAUGAUCAUGGGUCAUUCAUCUCAAGGUAACAUGUCUGAAGCACGGAGGCUUUUUGAUUCUCUGAAUGAAAAGAAUUCUAUCGUGUGGACAGCUUUGUUUACUGGUUAUGUCAAAGCACAGCAAUGUGAAGCUGUAUUUGAACUGCUGAAUGAAUAUAGAGGGAAUGCAAACAUUUCUUUUGAUGUACCCAUAAUCAUCUGCUUGCUAGGUGCCUGUGCAUUGCAGGCGGCCCUGGAUCCUGGAAAACAAAUUCAUGCUUACUCACUAAGAAAAGGGAUGGAAAUGGAGGAGAAGCUGAUUAGUGCCACAAUCGACAUGUAUUUUAAGUCUGGCAGUACUGAAUAUGCAGGAAAGAUAUUUCAAAAACUCACGGGAAGAGACUUGAUUCUCUACAAUAUCAUGAUUUCUGGUUAUGCAAAUCAUGGGCACGAAGAUCAAGCUAUGGAGCUGUAUAAAGAAAUGUUGGAGAGAGGAUUGAAACCUGAUGAGGUCACCUUUAUUGCGCUUCUAUCUGCUUGCCGUCAUAGUGGGUUAGUGGAAAUGGGGGAAAAGUAUUUCAAGUCCAUGGUAGAAGAUUACAAAAUAGUGCCUGAAAUGGAUCACUAUGCCUGUAUGAUUGAUCUGUAUGGAAGGGCAAAUCGACUAGAAAAGGCGAUGGGUCUCAUGAAGAAAAUUCCCAGGAAUUCGGAUCCUGUGAUUUUGGGGGCUUUUUUGAAUGCCUGCAAGAUAAAUAGGAACCUCAGUCUUGCAAGAGAAGCAGCAGAGCAGCUAUUGGUUAUUGAGGAAGAUAAUGGAUCUCGGUAUGUGCAGCUAGCAAAUGUAUUUGCAGCUGAGGAAAAUUGGGCAGAGAUGCGCAAGAUAAGAGAGAAAAUGAGAGGGAAGGAAACCAAGAAGCUUGCUGGCUGCAGUUGGGUGUAUCUUGAGAAUGGAAUUCAUGCAUUUACCUCUGGUGACACAUCGCAUUCAAAAGCAGAGGCUAUCUAUUCGAUCUUGGAGUUCCUAUCUGCAGAUUUACAUGUGCUACCCAAUUCAAGUGUUGGAAAGAUUACAACUUUAACAUUGACAUAAGGGGACAGAUGAAUUCAAAUGCUUGGUACAGGAAGGUCUGUGGCUGCUUUCAAGAGCAUAUAUAUUCAAAAGAGGAUGAGACAAUACUCAAACUCAACACUAAUUCAAUCAUGUUUCAAGGGUCGAUGGUAAAAGAUAUAUAUUUUGAAGAAGGAAUUGCACUCAUUGGUGUACCACACACUGGACGGUGGAGAUAAAAAACGACUGUGAUGGAUAAGAAGUACUGCCAGAUGAAGCAGUGGUAAAGCUUGUUCAUGUCAAAGCCUUCAGGCUAACAGAGGUUUUGCUCAAUUAGUGGAAUUUAUUUCAAAUAGGAUGAGCUGAAGAUAACUACUAGAGGAUGAAGACAUGUAUAUAGUUCCACAAUCUGGUUGGAGCGCCUUCUUCAGAACUAUCUGACAGGUUAACUUGUCGAAAUCUACUCAUCAUAUUGCCGGUGAACCCUGAUAUCAUAAAGCAAGGCAGGAGUCUCAAUUGAAUGCUCAAUCUGCUGAAAAUGGAAGAACCAGGAAAGAAGAUCCAUUUUGUGUUAGAAGACUGAUAGCCUGCAUCUGGGACUUUCCUGGACUGUCCACGGUUUGCCAAGCAAGCCACCAUAAUCUCCAAGGACUUCCUGCAUACAUGAUGGCAAAGAUAUUCAAGAAGUCACUGUCUAGGACGAGCUUGUAUUUGAAUAAAGGUAUAAAGGUGUGACAUCUCAAGGGGGUAAUGACGUGUACAAUGGUCUUAUUAGUGGCUAUCUGGAUCUGCUUAUGUAGAAUGCAGGUAUGGAUUGCCAGACCCUGUCCAGUCAUAUCAAGCUGUCUCAUUCUGGACGUCUUCUUUCAUCACAGUUUCAGCAUGUGAGUCUCCAUGGCAUCAGUAGAAUAAGGCAGUUUUGUCUGGGCGUCCAUGGUGAAUUCCUCCCGGGGUGCCCAACUAAGCAAGUCCAAUUUUUUUGCAUUUGUUGGAGUCAUUACUCUUUGGAGCUUCUGGUGAUCAGGGUGGGAACAAACAUUCACCGCAGUGGACAUGGUGACGCUCUCCAAACUCCGUUCCGAUGGUGUAUGUCUGAAAUAUUUUCUUGAGUAUCUGAGAAGAGUUACUUGUACUUUUCACGGUAUGUGAAUAUUCUGAGCUCAUUUCUUCAAACCAAAUUGAUGUCAUACAUUCAGAGGAAUAAACAUCCUGCAGCACUCAUCUU